GCAAAAGCAGGAAGAAAAAUUAGAGUAUGAGUUUGAGUUCGAUCAGAGAGUGUUGAAGAAAAGACAGAGUGAGUUAAGAAAGAUUAAGGAGCAAACAGAGGGCUGAGAAUUGCAGAGGAUGCCGGAAGUUUGGAGACUUGAUGAUCCAUUUCAGGUACCGAAGAUGAACGGGGAUUGCUAGAGACGGGCUUAGGAUGAAGAGUUGGCAUUGCGAGUUUUAUUUUUUUAUUUGGAGAAUUUUUUUGUAUAUUUGAGGAAAUUAACUUUGUAUAAAAAAAAAAAAAAAUAAAAAAGAAAAAAGCAUUUUUUUUAUGAUCCUGAGUGUAUUUUGAUGUAUUUGAGUUGAAUGAAUUGAGGAUUUUAUUGAAAAUUUUGGGUCGUGAUAAAAUGGUAUCAGAGCUUGUACCCAGCCGGAAGUGAGUAUAGUGAUGAUGUAAACGGGUGUGAAUGGGCGAGUGUGUAACACUAGUGAGCUACCAGUUGUAGCCGGGUGUGUGUGGGCGGAUGGCGUUCAUCGGCAGCCACUGGAUUAAUGGUUGGUUAGUGUGGUUGGGCAGGUAGCCCAGAUUUGUUAUUGUUUGUUUUUUUUUUUUUUUUGGUGGGCGGGUGACGCAUCGACUAGCUACCACAACUAUUACGGAGUGUGUGGGCGAGUGACUAGCACUUUCAGCUACCGCAAUGUCCUACAUAUCAUUGUAUCUCACAUCGCCUGGAGUAAGGAUUUGGAUUUUGGUUUUGUGGUUGUUGGUGUUUUCGAGUCUACUUGAAUCUGAAUUUCGAGGACGAAAUUCUUUUUAAGUGGUGGAGAUUGUGAUGACCUGGAUUUUUAAAUUUUUAAUUUAAUUAUUUUAUGAUUUUUAGACUAUCUAAAAUUAUUUAUUAAAGUUGGUGGGUUUUGAAAUUUGAUUUAUUUUAUUUUAUGAUUUAGGUUUGUUAUAAAAUUAUAUAUCUUUAUAUAUGUAUUUUGUUUGGUAGAAGAAGCAGCAGGUGGCUGCCGAAUGAUGAGGGAAACAAGAAAAGAAAGAAAUGGCAAAGUGGAUUGAAUUGAUUUUCCGGAUUAUAUAUAUAUGUGUAUGUAUGUAAUCUGUUGGAUGAGAGGUUCUAGCCAUGAGAUAGGAGGAUAAAUGGAAAGGGGAUUUGGUUUGGUUUGGUGAUGUCAUGAUUAACUUUGGUUUUUGCUUUUUGCUUUUUGCUUUUUUGCUUUUUGACCAAGUCGUGUGUAUAUUGUUUUGUGUAUAAGAUAGUGAAGUAAGGUUGGUUGUCGACAAUGAGAGAUAAGAAGAAAGAGGUGGUAAUGGGCCCACUUGUGAGGAUUGUAACUUUGAAUUGAUUUUUGUUUGGCCAUAAGUAUGGGCUUUAUGUGGGUUUGGUCUGGAAUGAGGUAUUGCAAUUGGAGUGUUGUUAGAUAUGAUGUGAUAAGGUGGUGUGUACGUGCAAGGUCCAAAAUGAUAUUACUUGGGUAAUUUUCUUUUGGCUUUGAAUUGUGCACGUGGGUCUGUUGGCUGGAAUGAGGUCGGUGGAUUGCUUAUAUAUAUUGGGUGUUUAUGACUUGGUUUGUAUGCAAAAGCAGAAGGAAAAAUUAGAGUGUGAGUUUGAGUUCAGAGACUGUUGAGGAAAAGACAGGGUGAGUUAAGAAAGAUUAAGAAGCAAACAGAGAGGGCCAAGAAUUACAGAGGAGGCCAGAAGUUUGGAGACUUGAUAAUCCAGUGAGGAAUUACUCUUUUUCAGUGGACUUUCAGUCUCAUCACCUUUCAGUUUCAGGUACCUAAGAUGAACGGGGAUUGCUAGAAACGGGCUUAGGAUGAAGAGUUGGCGUUGCGAGUUUUAUUUUUUUAUUUGGAGAAUUUUUUGUAUAUUUGAGAAAAUUGACUUUGUAUAAAAGAGGGCAUUUUUUUUA